GGGUGACUAGUCUAGUGGUCAGGACGUUUCGUUGUGGCUCUUUCCUUGCGAAUCCGAAGAAACCCCGGUUCGAUUCCGGGGUCGCCCA